GGGCCCGCACAAGCAGCGGAGCAUGUGGUUUAAUUCGAAGCAACGCGAAGAACCUUACCAAGGCUUGACAUCCACUGACGAAUGUAGAGAUACAUUUUCCCUUCGGGGCAGUGAGACAGGUGGUGCAUGGUUGUCGUCAGCUCGUGUCGUGAGAUGUUGGGUUAAGUCCCGCAACGAGCGCAACCCUUAUGAAUAGUUGCCAGCGAGAGAGACGGGAACUCUAUUCAGACUGCCGGGGACAACUCGGAGGAAGGUGGGGACGACGUCAAAUCAUCAUGCCCCUUACGUCUUGGGCUACACACGUGCUACAAUGGCCGGUACAAAGAGCAGCGAAUUCGCAAGGACAAGCGAAUCUCAAAAAGCCGGUCUCAGUUCGGAUUGUGGGCUGCAACCCGCCCACAUGAAGUCGGAGUUGCUAGUAAUCGCGAAUCAGCAUGUCGCGGUGAAUGCGUUCCCGGGCCUU
rnacentral:rRNA from 1 species